AUAUCGCGACGUAGUUUGACUCCGUGGCUCGAGGACGAACGCUGGCGGCGUGCCUAACACAUGCAAGUCGAACGGAGCUGCCCUUCGGGACAGCUUAGUGGCGAACGGGUGAGUAACGCGUGAGGAACCUGCCUCUCAGUGGGGGACAACAGUUGGAAACGACUGCUAAUACCGCAUAACAUCUUCGGGUGGCAUCACUUGAAGAUCAAAGCUUUAUGUGCUGAAAGAUGGCCUCGCGUCUGAUUAGCUAGUUGGUGAGGUAACGGCUCACCAAGGCGACGAUCAGUAGCCGGUCUGAGAGGAUGAACGGCCACAUUGGGACUGAGAUACGGCCCAGACUCCUACGGGAGGCAGCAGUGGGGAAUAUUGGGCAAUGGGGGAAACCCUGACCCAGCAACGCCGCGUGAAGGAAGAAGGCCCUCGGGUUGUAAACUUCUUUUACCAGGGACGAAGAACGUGACGGUACCUGGAGAAAAAGUAACGGCUAACUACGUG
rnacentral:rRNA from 1 species